rnacentral:rRNA from 1 species
AAUGAACGUUGGCGGCGUGGAUUAGGCAUGCAAGUCGUACGAUAAUCGUAGCAAUACGAGGAAAGUGGCGGAAGGGAGAGGAUUACGUGGGAAUCUACCCUCAGAACUGGGAUAGCGGCGGGAAACUGCCGGUAAUACCAGAUAAUGUCUGUGGACCAAAGGUGUGAUUCCGUCUGGGGAUGAGCCCACGUCCUAUUAGCUAGUUGGCAGGGUAAUGGCCUACCAAGGCAAUGAUGGGUAGCGGGUGUGAGGGCAUGACCCGCCUCACUGGGACUGAGAACUGCCCAGACACCUACGGGUGGCUGCAGUCGAGAAUCUUCGGCAAUGAGCGCAAGCUUGACCGAGCGACGCCGCGUGCGGGAUGAAGGCCUUCGGGUUGUAAACCGCUGUCGUAGGGGAGCAAGAGAUGAGGGUACUCCCUCUGAUUUGAGCGAUCCUAGGAGGAAGGACGGGCUAAGUUCGUGCCAGCAGCCGCCGUAAUAC